GGACUACUCGGGUUUCUAAUCCCGAUCGAUACCCAUGCCUUCGUACCUCAGCGUCAGUCUUCAAUAGUAACAUGCUUUCGCCCCUAAGCAACCCUCUAAGUUUCUAGGUAUUUUAACACUCUUCUUAUAGUAUUUGUUACUUCUUUUAACUCUAGUUUAGUAUUAUCUUUUUCACUCUUAUGUUAACUUGUCCCCCGCCCCGAAGGGGCGGGGACGAGAUAACCACCCCGCCCCGAAGGGGCGGGGCGGUUAACUAAAAGAUUUACUAUACCGCCUACUUACCCUUUAGACCCAUUAAUUACGAAUAACGCUUGCCUCACACGUAUUACCGCGGCUGCUGGCAC
rnacentral:rRNA from 1 species